AGAUGAGACAGAGAUCUGGCUGUGACAUCUGUCACCCCAUUAAUCUUGAGGGUUGAUUCAGCUGAUCUGGUUGGCUAGGCAGCUGUCCCUUUCCUCCCUCACCGCUCCACAUGUGUCCCUCUCGAAGCUGUGUAUGGUCAAAGAGGAUGACCUUCCCUGAGUAGAGAUAUAGAGACACUCUACUUC
rnacentral:snRNA from 1 species